rnacentral:tRNA from 1 species
UAGGAAAUAGUAUAGUUGGAAAUACAUAGGGUUUUGAUCUCUAUGAGAUAGGUUCGAGUCCUAUUUUUCUAA